rnacentral:rRNA from 1 species
GACGAACGCUGGCGGCGUGCUUAACACAUGCAAGUCGAACGGAAAGGCCCUGCUUUUGUGGGGUGCUCGAGUGGCGAACGGGUGAGUAACACGUGAGUAACCUGCCCUUGACUUUGGGAUAACUUCAGGAAACUGGGGCUAAUACCGGAUAGGAGCUCCUGCUGCAUGGUGGGGGUUGGAAAGUUUCGGCGGUUGGGGAUGGACUCGCGGCUUAUCAGCUUGUUGGUGGGGUAGUGGCUUACCAAGGCUUUGACGGGUAGGCGGCCUGAGAGGGUGACCGGCCACAUUGGGACUGAGAUACGGACCAGACUCCUACGGGCGGCAGCAGUGGGGAAUAUUGCACAAUGGGCGGAAGCCUGAUGCAGCAACGCCGCGUGCGGGAUGACGGCCUUCGGGUUGUAAACCGCUUUCGCCUGUGACGAAGCGUGAGUGACGGUAAUGGGUAAAGAAGCACCGGCUAACUACGUG